GUCAAGGCUAGGGAUUCAUCCAGGCCCUCAUGGCACUGCUUGUGUGCUGCCUCUCACAUGGUGUUUCUCCUACAGGUGACAAGAGAGAAGGCUAUGAUAAGGCUGCAAGAGACGACAGUGACCAGGGUUCUGAUGCUUCCCUCAGAGCUGAAAAAGUGUGACACAGCUGCUUUGUGUGGUCUGAGAGGCACAGCAUUUGUUCCUGCCUCUCCUCCUCACUCCUGGGACAUCAUGAGCUCCUGACUUCGCUUCCUGUACCUGGGUUCUGAGCGUGUGCAGGCUUCUGUGUGCUGUCAGCCUCCUGUGAGGAACUGAGGAGCCAGCCCAGCCCUGAGCACCAGGACCCUCCCCACACUGACCUGGGUCUCUUUCCCCUCCAGCUGCUGCUCCAGCAGAGGCAGGGCCAGGGCUUCCCCAACCCUGACUUCACUUUCCCUUGCUCUGAGCUGCAGCUGCUGCUUCCCCACUGAUAAAGAGAAUGUGGAUGUGGGUCUGUGUUUCAAAUUGUUGCCAUGGAAAAAUGUUGAAUAAAUCAAUGAAUGAUUCCCAAAAUUAAGAUAGAAAAUAAAACCUGAUUAACUUCCAAAAUCA